rnacentral:rRNA from 1 species
UACAGAGGUCCCAAGCGUUGUUCGGAUUCACUGGGCGUAAAGGGUGCGUAGGCGGCCUGUUGCGUCCGCUGUGAAAUCCCGGGGCUCAACCCCGGGCCUGCAGUGGAUACGGGCUGGCUGGAGGCAGGCAGGGGAGAACGGAAUUCCUGGUGUAGCGGUGAAAUGCGCAGAUAUCAGGAGGAACACCGGUGGCGAAGGCGGUUCUCUGGGCCUGUACUGACGCUGAGGAGCGAAAGCGUGGGGAGCGAACAGG